GACGAACGCUGGCGGCGUGCUUAACACAUGCAAGUCGAACGGAAAGGCCCUGCUUUUGUGGGGUGCUCGAGUGGCGAACGGGUGAGUAACACGUGAGUAACCUGCCCUUAACUUUGGGAUAACUUCAGGAAACUGGGGCUAAUACCGGAUAGGAGCUCCUGCUGCAUGGUGGGGGUUGGAAAGUUUCGGCGGUUGGGGAUGGACUCGCGGCUUAUCAGCUUGUUGGUGGGGUAGUGGCUUACCAAGGCUUUGACGGGUAGCCGGCCUGAGAGGGUGACCGGCCACAUUGGGACUGAGAUACGGCCCAGACUCCUACGGGAGGCAGCAGUGGGGAAUAUUGCACAAUGGCCGGAAGCCUGAUGCAGCAACGCCGCGUGCGGGAUGACGGCCUUCGGGUUGUAAACCGCUUUCGCCUGUGACGAAGCGUGAGUGACGGUAAUGGGUAAAGAAGCACCGGCUAACUACGUG
rnacentral:rRNA from 1 species